CGUGGCCUUGUGGUUAAGACGUUGGGCUCCUAACCCAAGGGUCGUAGGUUCGA
rnacentral:tRNA from 1 species